GACGAACGCUGGCGGCGUGCUUAACACAUGCAAGUCGAACGGAAAGGCCCUGCUUUUGUGGGGUGCUCGAGUGGCACGGGUGAGUAACACGUGAGUAACCUGCCCUUGACUUUGGGAUAACUUCAGGAAACUGGGGCUAAUACCGGAUAGGAGCUCCUGCUGCAUGGUGGGGGUUGGAAAGUUUCGGCGGUUGGGGAUGGACUCGCGGCUUAUCAGCUUGUUGGUGGGGUAGUGGCUUACCAAGGCUUUGACGGGUAGCCGGCCUGAGAGGGUGACCGGCCACAUUGGGACUGAGAUACGGCCCAGACUCCUACGGGAGGCAGCAGUGGGGAAUAUUGCACAAUGGGCGGAAGCCUGAUGCAGCAACGCCGCGUGCGGGAUGACGGCCUUCGGGUUGUAAACCGCUUUCGCCUGUGACGAAGCGUGAGUGACGGUAAUGGGUAAAGAAGCACCGGCUAACUACGUG
rnacentral:rRNA from 1 species